GUGGUUGUUUACCAUGAUUGUUUGUUUCUUUCCGGUGUUGCUUCUUCGGGUUGGUUCCGAUAACGUCGUGUUUGUGAGGAUCCGUUCGACUAUGUCCGUUUGUCUUCUUCAUGGACUCGUUCUUCUUCCUUGCGGGAUUUCAGGCAAGAUGACCAUACCCUCGAAAUCACUUCUAUCUUUGCUUGCUAGUUGCUCGCUCUUUUGCUAUGCCUAUGCUGCGAUACCGACCACUUGCUUAUCAUGCCUCCCAUAUUGUUGAACCAAGCCUCUAACCCACCUUGUCCUAGCAAACCGUUGUUUGGCUAUGUUACCACUUUGCUCAGCCCCUCUUAUAGCGUUGUUAGUUGCAGGUGAAGAUUGAAGUUUGUUCCUUGUUGGAACAUGGAGAUGUUGUUCCUUAUUGGAACAUGUUUACUUGUUGGGAUAUCACAAUAUAUCUUAUUUAAUUAAUGCAUCUAUAUACUUGGUAAAGGGUGGAAGGCUCGGCCUUAUGCCUGGUGUUUUGUUCCACUCUUGCCGCCCUAGUUUCCGUCAUAUCGGUGUUAUGUUCCCGGAUUUUGCGUUCCUUACGCGGUUGGGUUAUAAUGGGAACCCCUUGAUAGUUCGCUUUGAAUAAAACUCCUCCAGCAAGGCCCAACAUUGUUUUUACCAUUUGCCACCUAGCCUCUUUUUCCCUUGGGUUAGGCCAGCCCAAAGGUCAUCUUUAUUUUAAACCCCCGGGCCAGUGCUCCUCUGAGUGUUGGUCCAACACAGAGCAUCGUGCAGGGCCAUCCCUUGGCAACUUGGGUUACGUCGGCUCCUGUACGCUUAGCUUAUCCGGUGUGCCCUGAGAACGAGAUAUGUGCAGCUCCUAUCGGGAUUUGUCGGCAUAGCGGGUGGUCUUGCUGGACUUGUUUUACCAUUGUCGAGGAUGUCUUGUAGAACCGGGAUACCGAGUCUGAUCGGAAUGUCUCGGGAGGAGGUCUAUUCCUUUGUUGACUGUGAGAGCUUGUGAUGGGCUAACUUGGGACACCCCUGUAGGGAUUUGAACUUUCGAAAGCCGUGCCCACGGUUAUGGGCAGAUGAUAAUUUGUUAAUGUUCGGUUGUAGAAAACCUGAAGUUGACCUUAAUUAAGAUACAUCAACCGCGUGUGUUACCGUGAUGGUCUCUUUUCGGCGGAGUCCGGGAAGUGAACACGGUGUUGGAAUUAUGCUUGACGUAGGUUGUUUUAGGACCACUUCUUGAUCAUACUUGUAUCGACUGUGCUUUGCCUUCUCUUCUCGCUCUCAUUUGCGUAUGUUAGCCACCAUAUAUGCUAGCCGCUUGCUGCAGCUCCACCUCAUACCUUUACUUUACCCAUAAGCUUAAAUAGUCUUGAUCGCGAGGAUGCGAGAUUGCUGAGUCCCUGUGGCUCACAGAUACUUCCAAAACCAGCUUGCAGGUGCCGAUGAUGCCAUUCCAGGUGACGCAACCAAGCUCAGGAGGAGCUCGAUGGAGAUCUUGUCCUUUGUGUUGUUUUCGUUCUAGUUGAUCAGUAGUGGAGCCCAGUUGGGGUCGAUCGGGGACUUUGUCGCAUUUGGGGUUCUUCUUUUAUUUUGGUUCCGUAGUCGGACCUUGAUUGUAUUUGGAUGUUGUAAUGUUUUAUUCAUGUAAUUGUGUGAAGUGGCGAUUGUAAGUCAACUAUGUAUCUCUUUCCCUUAUGUAUUAAAU
rnacentral:lncRNA from 1 species